GCCGACUUAGCUCAACGGCAGAGCAACUGUAUCGUAAACAGUAGGUUGUCGGUUCAAGUCCGACAGUCGGCU
rnacentral:tRNA from 1 species